rnacentral:rRNA from 1 species
GUCGAACGCUUCUUUUUCCACCGGAGCUUGCUCCACCGGAAAAAGAGGAGUGGCGAACGGGUGAGUAACACGUGGGUAACCUGCCCAUCAGAAGGGGAUAACACUUGGAAACAGGUGCUAAUACCGUAUAACAAUCGAAACCGCAUGGUUUUGAUUUGAAAGGCGCUUUCGGGUGUCGCUGAUGGAUGGACCCGCGGUGCAUUAGCUAGUUGGUGAGGUAACGGCUCACCAAGGCGACGAUGCAUAGCCGACCUGAGAGGGUGAUCGGCCACAUUGGGACUGAGACACGGCCCAAACUCCUACGGGAGGCAGCAGUAGGGAAUCUUCGGCAAUGGACGAAAGUCUGACCGAGCAACGCCGCGUGAGUGAAGAAGGUUUUCGGAUCGUAAAACUCUGUUGUUAGAGAAGAACAAGGAUGAGAGUAACUGUUCAUCCCUUGACGGUAUCUAACCAGAAAGCCACGGCUAACUACGUGCCA